rnacentral:tRNA from 1 species
GGAAGUGUGGCCGAGCGGUUGAAGGCACUAGUCUUGAAAACUAGCGAGGAUGAGAGUCCUUCGUGAGUUCGAAUCUCACCGCUUCCGCCA